UGCCCCAGUAACGGCGAGUGAAGCGGCAACAGCUCAAAUUUGAAAUCUGGCCCUCGCGGUCCGAGUUGUAAUUUGUAGAGGAUGCUUUUGGUGCGGUGCCUUCCGAGUUCCCUGGAACGGGACGCCAUAGAGGGUGAGAGCCCCGUCUGGUUGGAUGCCAAACCUCUGUAAAGCUCCUUCGACGAGUCGAGUAGUUUGGGAAUGCUGCUCAAAAUGGGAGGUAUAUGUCUUCUAAAGCUAAAUACCGGCCAGAGACCGAUAGCGCACAAGUAGAGUGAUCGAAAGAUGAAAAGCACUUUGAAAAGAGGGUUAAAUAGUACGUGAAAUUGUUGAAAGGGAAGCGUUUGUGACCAGACUUGGGCUCGGUGAAUCAUCCGGCGUUCUCGCCGGUGCACUUCGCCGGUCCAGGCCAGCAUCGGUUCGCUCGCGGGGGAUAAAGGCGUCGGGAAUGUGGCUCCUCGGAGUGUUAUAGCCCUUCGCACAAUACCCUGCGGUGGACCGAGGUUCGCGCAUCUGCAAGGAUGCUGGCGUAAUGGUCAUCAACGACCCGUCUUGAAACACGGACCAAGGAGUCGUCUUCGUAUGCGAGUGUUCGGGUGUCAAACCCCUACGCGUAAUGAAAGUGAACGGAGGUGAGAGCUACGGCGCAUCAUCGACCGAUCCUGAUGUUCUCGGAUGGAUUUGAGUAAGAGCAUACGGGGCCGGACCCGAAAGAAGGUGAACUAUGCCUGUAUAGGGUGAAGCCAGAGGAAACUCUGGUGGAGGCUCGCAGCGGUUCUGACGUGCAAAUCGAUCGUCAAAUAUGGGCAUGGGGGCGAAAGACUAAUCGAACCUUCUAGUAGCUGGUUUCCGCCGAAGUUUCCCUCAGGAUAGCAGUGUUGAACUCAGUUUUAUGAGGUAAAGCGAAUGAUUAGGGACUCGGGGGCGCUAUUUAGCCUUCAUCCAUUCUCAAACUUUAAAUAUGUAAGAAGCCCUUGUUGCUUAAUUGAACGUGGGC
rnacentral:rRNA from 1 species